GAUGAACGCUGGCGGCGUGCUUAACACAUGCAAGUCGAGCGAAGCACUCUGUCUGAUUUCUUCGGAUUGAAGACAGUUUGACUGAGCGGCGGACGGGUGAGUAACGCGUGGGGAACCUGCCUUACACAGGGGGAUAACAGUUAGAAAUGGCUGCUAAUACCGCAUAACCCGCUGGGGUCGCAUGACUCUGACGGAAAAGAUUGUAUCGGUGUAAGAUGGACCCGCGUCUGAUUAGCUGGUUGGUGAGGUAACGGCUCACCAAGGCGACGAUCAGUAGCCGACCUGAGAGGGUGAUCGGCCACAUUGGGACUGAGACACGGCCCAA
rnacentral:rRNA from 1 species